rnacentral:rRNA from 1 species
ACGCUCGACACCUACGGGGGCAGCAGUAGGGAAUCUUCCACAAUGGACGCAAGUCUGAUGGAGCAACGCCGCGUGAGUGAAGAAGGUUUUCGGAUCGUAAAGCUCUGUUGUUGGUGAAGAAGGAUAGAGGUAGUAACUGGCCUUUAUUUGACGGUAAUCAACCAGAAAGUCACGGCUAACUACGUGCCAGCAGCCACGGUAAUCUGAGCGGGCUGGCAAGGC